rnacentral:rRNA from 1 species
AUUGAACGCUGGCGGCAUGCCUUACACAUGCAAGUCGAACAGUAACAGGUCUUCGGAUGCUGACGAGUGGCGAACGGGUGAGUAAUACAUCGGAACGUGCCUAGUAGUGGGGGAUAACUACUCGAAAGAGUGGCUAAUACCGCAUGAGAUCUACGGAUGAAAGCAGGGGAUCGCAAGACCUUGUGCUACUAGAGCGGCCGAUGGCAGAUUAGGUAGUUGGUGGGAUAAAAGCUUACCAAGCCGACGAUCUGUAGCUGGUCUGAGAGGACGAUCAGCCACACUGGGACUGAGACACGGCCCAGACUCCAACGGGAGGCAGCAGUGGGGAAUUUUGGACAAUGGGCGAAAGCCUGAUCCAGCAAUGCCGCGUGCAGGAUGAAGGCCUUCGGGUUGUAAACUGCUUUUGUACGGAACGAAAAGCCCCGGGUUAAUACCCUGGGGUCAUGACGGUACCGUAAGAAUAAGCACCGGCUAACUACGUGCCAGCCGCCGCAGUAA